UCGCUGUGAUGAAGCAGAUUCCUGAGUCAUUCGUAGUUUCCACCAGAGGUUGAAGAACCAAAGAUGGCACAAAAUCUUCCUUGGAUGUCUGAGCGA
rnacentral:snoRNA from 1 species